rnacentral:rRNA from 1 species
UACAGAGGGGGCAAGCGUUAUUCGGAAUUAUUGGGCGUAAAGGGCGCGUAGGCGGCUUUGCAAGUGGCGGGUGAAAUCCCUCGGCUUAACCGAGGAACUGCCUGUCAAACUGCAUGGCUUGAGACCGGGAGAGGUGAGUGGAAUUCCCAGUGUAGCGGUGAAAUGCGUAGAUAUUGGGAGGAACACCAGUGGCGAAGGCGGCUCACUGGACCGGUUCUGACGCUGAGGCGCGAAAGCGUGGGGAGCAAACAGG